rnacentral:rRNA from 1 species
GAUGAACGCUGGCGGCGUGCCUAAUACAUGCAAGUCGAGCGAACAGACGAGGAGCUUGCUCCUCUGACGUUAGCGGCGGACGGGUGAGUAACACGUGGAUAACCUACCUAUAAGACUGGGAUAACUUCGGGACACCGGCGCUUAUACCGGAUAAUAUCUUGAACCGCAUGGUUCAAUAGUGAAAGACGGUUUUGCUGUCACUUAUAGAUGGAUCCGCGCCGCAUUAGCUAGUUGGUAAGGUACCGGCUUACCAAGGCAACGAUGCGUAGCCGACCUGAGAGGGUGAUCGGCGACACUGGAACUGAGACACGGUCCAGACUCCUACGGGAGGCAGCAGUAGGGAAUCUUCCGCAAUGGGCGAAAGCCUGACAGAGCAACGCCACGUGAGUGAUGAAGGUCUUCGGAUCGUAAUACUCUGUUAUUAGGGAAGAACAAAUGUGUAAGUAACUAUGCACGUCUUGACGGUACCUAAUCAGAAAGCCACGGCUAACUACGUG